rnacentral:misc_RNA from 1 species
GAAAAUGAGGGGUCAAUUGACCCCACUUUUUCUUUAAAAUUCUUUUGUAUAUAUGUGUACUUCUAUGUAUUGAGCCCAAAGCGUCCGGGGAGAAUUCUUGAUCUGUCUUAUGAAAGAACACACUUAUAAGCUUGACACCAUAUCCAACCCAAAACCUUAAGAUAAUGGGUUUAUAGCUUCUUCCCACUUAUAUGUCUUUCACUCAUCCCAUCUUUUUCCAAUGUGAGAAUUUCACGCUUGUAUAUUUCUAAUAAUCCCCCCUCAAGUUUAAAUCUCUUCUACAUUGGAUUUUUUGGGCUUGCUCCCCCUCAAAUGGAAGUCUUCUUAACUUAAGUAUUACGGUGUUACCAAGAGUCCUAAUUACUCCACCAAACUCAUUCGAGCAUGCGCCUCUAAGAGUUAUGCCAGAGCCAUCACGCGUUUUGCCAUCACAUGUACCGAGAGUCUCCUCUCUAUCGAUCUGCUCUUUUCUAGAAGAGUGCUUUCCUGCUCCACUGGGUCUAUCAAGAGUCUCUUGACUCUUCCCAUCCACGUGUCAGAGCACUACGAGAAUCAUCGACCACCGUUUUCAUAUUCGUUCUUGCCGAACUAUCGACUUUGAUACCAUG